rnacentral:rRNA from 2 species
UACGUAGGUGGCAAGCGUUGUCCGGAUUUAUUGGGCGUAAAGCGAGCGCAGGCGGAAUGAUAAGUCUGAUGUGAAAGCCCACGGCUCAACCGUGGAACUGCAUCGGAAACUGUCAUUCUUGAGUGCAGAAGAGGAGAGUGGAAUUCCAUGUGUAGCGGUGGAAUGCGUAGAUAUAUGGAAGAACACCAGUGGCGAAGGCGGCUCUCUGGUCUGCAACUGACGCUGAGGCUCGAAAGCAUGGGUAGCGAACAGG